UGCCACCACCUAAGGCUAUGAGAAGAAAGUGGUGGAGCUGGCGGUGACCGCGGUUGAGUAGGAGGAGACGGAGGUGGUGGGUUGUAAACAACUUCCUUUACAGUACUAUCAACAGCUAUAUCUUUAGUAACAAGAUCUUCUUCUUGUUCUUCUUUUGCCUGAUACUGCUGUUGUGGACGAUGAUCUUGGAGCUGAUUCGAUGAGCUUGAAAACCUGUAGUUAUGAAGAUGGGUAUCAUCAUAAAAUCGCCACCUUUCAUCGUUGGUCAGCCACAAGGAUUCUUGCCGGAGAUCUGGGUAUGAACUGAAGCUCCUUAACCUAUUCAAGCUAUUAUAAGGCGCUACCGCCGGCCGAUCAUGAUUCUGAUCAUACCAUCUAUGAGCAGGUGUUGAUGGACAUGAUCUCUGCACAUCUCGUUGUACACUUGAUAUGCUGUGAUAGCUUGGACUUUCAGAGUUGCUAUUAUUGUUGUUAUUUUUACCAAGAAAUCCACAAAUUAUAGCAAAGAAGACCAGAACAAAAUUAAGGUAAUCCCAGCUUUUCUUGAUCAAAUGUGG
rnacentral:misc_RNA from 1 species